rnacentral:misc_RNA from 1 species
UCCGGUUUGGCACCGGCAGUCUCCGAUGAGUUACCCCAGGAUCGUUACCCUUUCGGGUUUCUACUACCAACAUGUCAAGCCCUGGUAAGGUUCUUCGCUUAGCAUCGAAUUAAACCACACGCUCCACCGCUUGUGCGGGCCCCCGUCAAUUCCUUUGAGUUUUAGCCUUGCGGCCGUAGUCCCCAGGCGGAAUGCUUAUCGCGUUAGCUGCGGCACAGGAGGGGUCGAUACCCCCUAUACCUAGCACCCAUCGUUUACAGCAUGGACUAC